GCUUCUGAAGUCUCCAUCGCGGCUGGUCGUAGCUAUAGAAGCCUCCUCUGAGCUAUUCGGCUUACAUUCUAUGACACGGCUUACUUGGAAGUGUGGGCCUUAGUUUUGCGCCAAGCUACGUGAACUGAAGUGCUGCUGUUUUGCCUUGCUGUGCUUUUAUCGUCUGUUCCCGUUGUGAGAUUUCUUUCCCUGCUGCUGUCAGCUUUUACAGUGGACGUCGGCGUGGACAACGGCCAUAUGCAUGCCGGUUAUCGGAGUCAGCUGGCGUGCAUAUUGAUUGACUGUUAACUUGUCGUUGUGUGACGGCAAGUUGGAGCAGUACGGCGAUUCCGUUUGCUCCAGAUUUUAGAGUUUUAUCCAGAUUGUAUGUUGUUUUAUUGCUUUUGAUUUGUAGUUUGGAUUUUUGUUACACCACUGGUGGGAGGCCCUUUUUCUAGCUGUAGAUCACCAGUGUGGUCCUGCAGUUGGGUUAUCCCCCGGUGCUACACAUUAGUUUGUUGUAAUAUAUUAAAAUUUUCUUUGUUUCUUUUAUUCAGAUGCGGAGUGCCGACGUGGAGGAGACUAGGGUGCCUUGGUGGUGGGAUCCCUUGAGUGUACACACCUGCCUUGUUUAGUUUAUUA